rnacentral:rRNA from 1 species
UACGUAGGGUGCGAGCGUUGCCCGGAUUUCUUGGGCGUAAAGGGCGCGUAGGCGGCCACGCACGUCCGUUGUGAAAUCGCCCGGCUCAACUGGGCGGGGUCGGCGGAUACGGCGUGGCUGGAGCAAGCUAGGGGGCAAUGGAAUUCCCGGUGUAGUGGUGGAAUGCGUAGAUAUCGGGAGGAACACCAGUGGCGAAGGCGGUUGCCUGGAGCUUUGCUGACGCUGAGGCGCGAAAGCGUGGGGAGCGAUCCGG